UACGUAGGUGGCAAGCGUUGUCCGGAAUUAUUGGGCGUAAAGCGCGCGCGGGCGGUCUUUUUAAGUCUGAUGUGAAAGAUCGGGGCUCAACCCCGAGAGGUCAUUGGAAACUGGGAGACUUGAGUACAGAAGAGGAGAGUGGAAUUCCACGUGUAGCGGUGAAAUGCGUAGAUAUGUGGAGGAACACCAGUGGCGAAGGCGACUCUCUGGUCUGUAACUGACGCUGAGGCGCGAAAGCGUGGGGAGCAAACAGG
rnacentral:rRNA from 1 species